UGUUAAGGUAUAUUGUAACUCUUUUCUGUUUUUCAUUUGAAAACAAAACGAUUUGAUGGUCAAAUUUGAUUAAAUAAAUAAUAAAUAUGUUGAGAAGACAUUGUUAAUGAUGUGUUAAUAAAAAAACAAAUUUUCUCUAAGCGUUAAUGUGGAAAAUUUAGUUUUAAAAUUGAUAAAUAAUGUGAAGUUUUUCAGAUGUCAUGAUGAUGAACAAUAUCAUUUUGUUAAUUAAAAUAUAGCUGCUAUAAUAAAAACAGUGAAAUGACUUUCUUGGCUAAUUUAAACUAACAAAAACAUGUUUAAGGUUAAUGCGAUUAAUUAUGCAAAUUAUAUAUCCUCUAUUUCUAUGCAAAAAUUUAUAUUUAAAAAAUGACAAUACAAGUGAAUGUGGAUGUAGCUAAUGAUACGGAAUUUAUUUAUUUUGAGAUGAAUGAAUAAAAUCUUGAUGUACCCCCAAUAACCCUGUAAAUUUUUCAAUUGAUGUAUCGAACCGUUUUUUUCGGGGUGAUUAAUUAAAGUUUUGCAAAAGAAUUGAAGGAACGAGUUUUGUUUCUUAAAAAAAAUAAUCAUCAUCAAAAUAAAAAAAUGAUUUGUUUUGGACUUUUCUUAAAUUUUUACGUCGGUUACUCAGUAAAUGUGAAGAAAAGAGAAAAAAAAAUCUGUGUACCGGUAAACCCUGUAGACCAGCCCCAAAACUUCCCACUGUUUUUGAGCUCCUUGAGCUCGAAAACAUAAUUACUUGAAAAUUUUUCGGCUCUUCGAACUCAAAAAACUAUUAGACCGUCAAAAACAUGCAUUUCUCGAGUGGCUCUGAUGAAAACUUUAGAUUUGAAAGAAAAAAAUUUUCUGAAUAAAAAUACACUUAUUCAUCUUGAAAAAAAAAAAAAAAGAAAAAAAUCGAUGAACCGUUAACCGUACAAACCAACUUAAAAAUUUCAUACGGUUUUGGAGCUCGAAAAGAUGUUUUUGAAUACAUAUUAAAAAAAAAAAAAAAAAAAAAAAUUUCAAUACCCGUUUUAAAUUAAACAGUACACUUGGUGUUGAACUCGUUUAAGAAGUAAAGAAAAAAUAUCUUUGAAUAAUUAAAGAAACAAAAAUUAAAAUUAAAAGAAUUAAAAAUAUUAUUAGCUUAAAUUAUU